rnacentral:rRNA from 1 species
GCGGGAAGCCUCUCCCAAGAUAAGUUCUCCCUGACCCCUUGAGGGUCCUGAAGGGCCGUCCGAGACGAGGACGUUGAUAGGCUGGGUGUGGAAGCGUUGUAAGGCGUUGAGCUAACCAGUACUAAUUGCCCGUGAGGCUUGACCAUAUAAUCCAG